UUACGGCCACAUCAUGUUGAAACAAGAGUACCCGUACGAUCACCGAAGUUAAGCAACGUCGAGCCUGAUCGGUACCUAAAUGGGUGACUGCAUGGGAAUAUCAGGUGCUGUAA
rnacentral:rRNA from 1 species